UCUCUGUUAGUAUAUCGGUUAGUACACGCGCCUGUCACUUUACUGUGCGCGCGAAAGCGGGGUUCGACUCCCCGACAGAGAG